rnacentral:rRNA from 1 species
GACGAACGCUGGCGGCGUGCUUAACACAUGCAAGUCGAACGGAAAGGCCCUGCUUUUGUGGGGUGCUCGAGUGGCGAACGGGUGAGUAACACGUGAGUAACCUGCCCUUGACUUUGGGAUAACUUCAGGAAACUGGGGCUAAUACCGGAUAGGAGCUCCUGCUGCAUGGUGGGGGUUGGAAAGUUUCGGCGGUUGGGGAUGGACUCGCGGCUUAUCAGCUUGUUGGUGGGGUAGUGGCUUACCAAGGCUUUGACGGGUAGCCGGCCUGAGAGGGUGACCGGCCAAAUUGGGAAUUAGAUACGGCCCAGACUCCUAAGGGAGGCAGCAGUGGGGAAUAUUGCACAAUGGGCGGAAGCCUGAUGCAGCAACGCCGCGUGCGGGAUGACGGCCUUCGGGUUGUAAACCGCUUUCGCCUGUGACGAAGCGUGAGUGACGGUAAUGGGUAAAGAAGCACCGGCUAACUACGUG